UAACCGAAUAGGGGAGCCGGAGGGAAACCGAGUCUUAACCGGGCGUUAAGUUGCAGGGUAUAGACCCGAAACCCGGUGAUCUAGCCAUGGGCAGGUUGAAGGUUGGGUAACACUAACUGGAGGACCGAACCGACUAAUGUUGAAAAAUUAGCGGAUGACCUGUGGCUGGGGGUGAAAGGCCAAUCAAACCGGGAGAUAGCUGGUUCUCCCCGAAAGCUAUUUAGGUAGCGCCUCGUGAAUUCAUCUCCGGGGGUAGAGCACUGUUUCGGCUAGGGGGCCAUCCCGGCUUACCAACCCGAUGCAAACUGCGAAUACCGGAGAAUGUUAUCACGGGAGACACACGGCGGGUGCUAACGUCCGUCGUGAAGAGGGAAACAACCCAGACCGCCAGCUAAGGUCCCAAAGUCAUGGUUAAGUGGGAAACGAUGUGGGAAGGCCCAGACAGCCAGGAUGUUGGCUUAGAAGCAGCCAUCAUUUAAAGAAAGCGUAAUAGCUCACUGGUCGAGUCGGCCUGCGCGGAAGAUGUAACGGGGCUAAACCAUGCACCGAAGCUGCGGCAGCGACACUGUGUGUUGUUGGGUAGGGGAGCGUUCUGUAAGCCUGUGAAGGUGUGUCGUGAGGC
rnacentral:rRNA from 1 species